UUCAUAAAUGGGAGACCUACUCCACUAACUAAGCUAAACAGCAGUAGGGGAGGUGACUCUUUCAUUAUAUAGCAUAAAUCAUGCUAAAAAAAAGUCCCACCCUCACAUUUUCUGGCCAAUCCAGGUGGUGUGCGCCAAAAGGGGCGGUUUCCCGCGCGAAGUUACUGCAUUUCCCUCCAAAACUUUUAGAUGCCUAUUUAAAUGGCUGAGGAUCAUCAAUCUGGUCCCAACAGCUCAUCUCUGAGGACACACACACGGUGAACAGUGGGAUGUGUCUUCAGCUUCAAGUGGAACAGCUCUGACCUGUAUGGUGAUCAGACCUGGAGAAGAGAGACACCCGGUCCAAUAAGGUGAUGGACGGUUGACAGGACGAAUCACCAAGACGAACAAGACAAGCCAAACAAUGGAGAUGAGCUGCCACAGGAGCCUGAAGGACAAGUAACGAGAGCAGUCAGGAGCUGAAAGUGUGGGCAGAGGAACAGGAUGCUGAGGACGAGUUGGAGGACGGUUCCCUGAACUGAAUCCUGAGAUCCUAUAAUCAAGUUUUGUGGACUGACAGUGUGUAUGGUUGGUGCUCGGCCCAGGAGAGGAGAGACAACUAAGGUGAUGGAUGAGCAGCCGAGACGAACAAGAUGAGCCAAACCCUGGAGACGAGCCGCCACAGGAGCCUGAAGCAGCAGGAAAACUGAGUAUCUGAGCGUCUGUCUUCUGAUGACAACUCCUUCAGGUCAUGCAGUUGUUUGAUGACUGUGGUUUCACCUGCUCUUCAUGGCGAUGUGCAGCAGCGUGACAGUGAUGGCGUAGUCCCAAACCCACUCCUCCACGAUCCAGGCGAACACCAGCCCGCCCAGAAGAUAGGUCACUUCUGUGGAAAUCACACCAACUGGAGGGACAGAGGAAGAAAAAAUGACACCUGUUAUUCUGCCUCAUCUUUCUCUACAACGCUUUAGGAUCACGAUUCUGCUUUAGCAUCACACCUUAGCAUGCAGUGUAGCAGAAAGAAAUACAGGAGUCAUGAAAUUGUCCUGACUCGAAUGUUGUAAUUGAGGAUUUAUAUAUUUAUUCUGACCUUCAGCAUGAGAAUAUAUAAAAUGCCAUUUUUCAGUCUUUUUCUCAGGAUGGUGAUGAAGGUUGAUUGAGCCUUUGCUAUAUAAGGGGCACUUUGUAACAGUUUGUAGAAAUUUACACGUAUUAUUCACUUUUUUAUUGACCACAUUUGAGGGAAUGGUAUCGUGAAAUGUAAAAUGAAAUCUUCCCUGUCUCUCUCAGUUGUUUUUAAAAGCCUGUGGUCGAUUUGUUGAAGCCAUUUAACGCCUCUGGACUGUCAAGUGUUUAUUAUUAUCAAUUAAAUGUAUAACACAUACACAACUCCUUUAACACAUAAGGCCUUUAGCUUGAUAUUGUAGAACCACUGGUAUAUAUAGAGUGUUUGUCCUCGACUGAACCGCGUCAUGUUUCCAUACAAGAACAUGUUUUCUUUUGAUUGUAGCAGGAUUAUGUUGUUAUAUCUUUUCUGCUCGCCUCAGCACAAACUGUUCUGUGUGAGAAAUAGAAAUAGAUAAAACUAGUUCAGCAGUUUCUUAUCAUUCACCUUCCUCUCUCUGUGCUUCAGCAUAUUUAUUUUCAUUCCUUUUGUGAGGGUGAAACUCAGCGUAUGUUUUUAAGAAGAAAAUCUUUGAAGGCAGUCACUGGAUUUUUCAUUUCUCAGUACCUCUCUCUGCUCCGCUCACAGACUUUUGCUUUUUCUGGUUUGGUGUGAUUUAUUUACAUUGUUUUGAUUUCAUGAUUUCAACUCCAGUCCAUCUCUUUUCAUUGUAAUUCUACUUGUACAAGCAUUUGAUUAGCUUGUUAAGGAAGAAAGGUUCCAUAUAUAUAGUUGUUUUUGUUAUUAUUGUUGGGUUUUGUUGUUGUUAUUGUUCUUACAUUAUUGUUGUUCUUCUUAUUAGGGUUCUAACCCAGAAGGGGUAGAACCCUUCUCAAAUUGUGCCGGUUUAAUAGUUUUAUGUGUUGUCUGCCGCUUGAGCUCAAAUUCCUGUGAGCUGGAAUGGGCCAUAAACUUGAAACUUGGCCCAAUGAUUAGAAAUAAUGUGUAUCAACUUUUAUUAAAACAUGAGCCCAGUCAGCCAGAUGGUGGCGGUGUUA